GCCGCAAGGUUAAAACUCAAAUGAAUUGACGGGGGCCCGCACCAGCGGUGGAAGCAUGUGGUUUUAAAUUGAAGCAACGCGAAGAACCUUACCAGGCCUUGACAUGCAGAGAACUUUCCAGAGAUGGAUUGGUGCCUUUGGGAAAUUUGACACAGGUGCUGCAUUGCUGUUGUCAGCUUGUGUCGUGAGAUGGUGGGUUAAGUCCCGUAACGAGCGCAACCCUUGUCCUUAGUUUCCAGCACGUUAAGGUGGGCACUCUAAGGAGACUGCCGGUGACAAACCGGAGGAAGGUGGGGAUGACGUCAAGUCAUCAUGGCCCUUACGCCCUGGGCUCCACACGUGCUACAAUGGUCGGUACAAAGGGUUGCCAAGCCGCGAGGUGGAGCUAAUCCCAUAAAACCGAUCGUAGUCCGGAUCGCAGUCUGCAACUCGACUGCGUGAAGUCGGAAUCGCUAGUAAAAUGAAUCAGAAUGUCACGGUGAAUACGUUCCCGGGCCUUGUACACCCCGCCCAUCACACCAUGGGAGUGGGUGCUCCAGAAGAACAGAGUUUGAUCCUGGCUCAGAUGAACGCUGCGCAGCUAAAGGUAAAAAUAAUG
rnacentral:rRNA from 2 species